GAAGAGAGCAGCUGCGGGAAGACAGUGUGAGACACGCGUGGUUCUGAAGUUAAAAAAAAAUAUAUAACGUGAAAAGCGUUUAUGUCAGAGAUUACCCUUUUAGUUUGAAGAGAAUUCGGACGGAAUAUCUACAAUUAAACUGGGUGUUAAUAAAGUGCAGUUUUGUGUAAAAGUUAUUGAAGUCGACGGAGCCUUGGCGGUUAGCUUUCAUGCUAGGGGCUUUCGCGGACGACUUCCCGUUACCGCUCGCAGAUAAACUGCGUUGAGUCUGUGAAACUUGCUGUCGCGGCAUCGAGAUUCCGAUCUCCACCUGCAUGAAGAUUCGAUUCCUGGCCUUGCUGCAUGGAACCAUAGCUUUUGUCGGUGCGGUAAACCACUCACGACCAUACUGGAUUAAGGCACUGUGCGAGUUAUUUUAUUUAUUUUUUGCUCUUCAGUGAGCGAAGCGGCCAUUUGUUUUGGGCCACGACGAACUCUAGCCCCGCUCCAGGCCUGUGGAUAUCUGCAGGCAGCAAUGAGCAACUAUGUGGCCGCUGUGACUUCAGGAAGAGAAGGAACGUGGAAGGUGAUGCAGCAUUAUAGUAGGGAAGUGACUAUACCCUUGGCCUCAUCAUUGUAUAAACUGCCACCUGUGAAGUGGUGCCUGAAUUCCAUAGCUCUCCAUUGGAGGGAGAUGACCACAAAGCAGCAGAUCCCUCAGAGAGGAGUAUCCUGCCUUCCGUCAUUUUCUUCUGGAUGGCACAAUCCAGCUGCAUUGCAGUUUGUUUCUGAAAGGGACAUCUGUGUGAUUACAUGCCCCCCCCCCAUUGCUGACAAAACAUUAAAUUGCUCCUCUCCCCAUGACCAAUAAUUGACAGCUGACUCAUUUGACAUAGCCAUUUUAUACAAAAUGCAUUGAGUUAACUGUUAUUGGUGUAG